GAUGAACGCUGACGGCGUGCCUAAUACAUGCAAGUCGAGCGAACGGACGAGAAGCUUGCUUCUCUGAUGUUAGCGGCGGACGGGUGAGUAACACGUGGAUAACCUACCUAUAAGACUGGGAUAACUUCGGGAAACCGGAGCUAAUACCGGAUAAUAUUUUGAACCGCAUGGUUCAAAAGUGAAAGACGGUCUUGCUGUCACUUAUAGAUGGAUCCGCGCUGCAUUAGCUAGUUGGUAAGGUAACGGCUUACCAAGGCAACGAUGCAUAGCCGACCUGAGAGGGUCAUCGGCCACACUGGAACUGAGACACGGUCCAGACUCCUACGGGAGGCAGCAGUAGGGAAUCUUACGCAAUGGGCGAAAGCCUGACGGAGCAACGCCGCGUGAGUGAUGAAGGUCUUAGGAUCGUAAAACUCUGUUAUUAGGGAAGAACAUAUGUGUAAGUAACUGUGCACAUCUUGACGGUACCUAAUCAGAAAGCCACGGCUAACUACGUG
rnacentral:rRNA from 1 species